AACUUUAGAAACAAAUCACAACGAUGAUAAGCAUCCUUCCGAAUGCAAAGCACAGAAGAAAAAGAUCAGAAGUCACCCAAGAAACACUGAUGCUGCCAAGAUGUAGGCAGAAUGCAAGCAGAAUGGCUGUGUGAGGCUGAGAAGACAAAUAAGAUUAACUCAGCAAGGUUGGGAUAAAUAGUUCACAAACAGCAAAAAGCCUGAUCAAACAAGAUCAAGAGCAGGUGGCUCAUUCUAAAGGUCCAAAGGAAUGUGAUUUUACGUUCUAUGAUGGCUAUGGCGUUUAUCCUCCACCCUCUCUAUUCUUGGACAGUCUCCUCAUAGAAGCACAAAGACGAUGUUUGUCUGCCACCCUCUCAGGUUA
rnacentral:lncRNA from 1 species